UGGGGAAUAUUGCACAAUGGGCGAAAGCCUGAUGCAGCGACGCCGCGUGCGGGAUGAAGGCCUUCGGGUUGUAAACCGCUUUUAAUUGGGAGCAAGCGAGAGUGAGUGUACCUUUUGAAUAAGCACCGGCUAACUACGUGCCAGCAGCCGCGGUAAUACGUAGGGUGCAAGCGUUAUCCGGAAUUAUUGGGCGUAAAGAGCUCGUAGGCGGUUUGUCACGCCUGGUGUGAAAGUCCAUCGCUUAACGGUGGAUCUGCGCCGGGUACGGGCAGGCUAGAGUGCAGUAGGGGAGAUUGGAAUUCCCGGUGUAACGGUGGAAUGUGUAGAUAUCGGGAAGAACACCAAUGGCGAAGGCAGAUCUCUGGGCUGUUACUGACGCUGAGGAGCGAAAGCAUGGGGAGCGAACAGGAUUAGAUACCCUGGUAGUCCAUGCCGUAAAACGGUGGAUGCUGGAUGUGGGGCCCUUCCACGGGCUCCGUGUCGGAGCUAACGCGUUAAGCAUCCCGCCUGGGGAGUACGGCCGCAAGGCUAAAAAC
rnacentral:rRNA from 1 species